CCAGCAGCUGCGGUAAUUCCAGCUCCAAUAGCGUAUAUUAAAGUUGUUGCAGUUAAAAAGCUCGUAGUCGGACUUUGGAAGCCAGUGUAGUUCGGUCUGCCGUGAUGGUGUGUACUAACUAUGCGCUUCUUCCUUCCAGAUGUCUCUAGCUGCUCUUAACUGGGUGGCUAGUUGGCGCUGGAUCGUUUACCUUGAAAAAAUUAGAGUGUUUAAAGCAGGCUAAUCUUUUGCCUUGAAUAUAUUAGCAUGGGAUAAUGGAAUAGGACUCGGCUCCUGUUUCGUUGGUUUGAGUGGCUGAGUAAUGAUUAAUAGAGACAGUUGGGGGCGUUCAUAUUUAAUUGUCAGAGGUG
rnacentral:rRNA from 1 species